UGGCGGACGGGUGAGUAACGCGUGGAAAACCUGCCGUAUACUGGGGGAUAACACUUAGAAAUAGGUGCUAAUACCGCAUAAGCGCAUAGCUUCGCAUGAAGCGGUGUGAAAAACUCUGGUGGUAUACGAUGGUUCCGCGUCUGAUUAGCUAGUUGGUGGGGUAAUGGCCUACCAAGGCAACGAUCAGUAGCCGGCCUGAGAGGGUGAACGGCCACAUUGGGACUGAGACACGGCCCAAACUCCUACGGGAGGCAGCAG
rnacentral:rRNA from 1 species